GACCGUAGUAAUGCCCGAUUUGAAGUCGGGCAACGGGCUGCGCCGUCAGUCCCAUGGUUU
rnacentral:tRNA from 1 species